UUCGCGAUGCGAAUAAAAACGUCGGGAAUUCGCGCAAACAUAGACAGAUCGCGGCGAAAGUUUCUUUGAAAUUUCACCCGAGCAUUUCCUCGCGGAUUUUUGGCGUUGAGCCCAAACUACGAUUGAUUCGACGCUAUGACGAAAGCGCUAUGGUUGCUUGGCUGGCUAACGCUGUUGAUCGCAUCCAGACACGGCGAGGGCCAACAAUGCAAUUAUUACCAAGAUAUGAUCGCUGGCACCACGUACUACGUUUACAACCCGAGUUAUCCGAAUUACUAUCAAGGAUCUCAGUCGUGCAUCUGGACCCUGAGGAGCCCCACUCGAAUCAACUUGACCUGCUCUGUAUUUGAGUUACCAGACACCCAGAACUGCGCCGGGGACAGAAUGGCCGUCCAAAUAAGUCCAGACACCACUCAACUGUACUGUGGCUCGAAGACAUUCAGUGUGGAGUCUGAAAGUGAGGAGAUGAUCAUCACGUUAACAGCGUACGGAUGGACACGGGGUCGAUUCCUUUGCAUAGCGGGAACUACCACCAAUGUCGAGCCUUGUCGAUGCGGAUGGAAGAAUCCUUCUAGAAUUGUUGGUGGCACGGAGACAGGGGUGCACGAGUUUCCUAUGAUGGCUGGGAUGGUGGACGCUACAACACGACGCGUGUACUGCGGUAGUACCAUAAUAUCCCCUUCGCACGUGGUGACGGCAGCUCAUUGCAUCGUAAACAGAAAUAUCACGACGAUUGGAGUUGUGGUGGGCGAACACGACCCAUACACAGGGACAGACACGAAUGCCACGGUGCUGUAUCGCGUCAAGAGCGUCAUCAUCCACCCGGAGUACGUUCGCGAAUUGUUCUUGAACGACAUAGCUGUCGUUGAACUGGAUGGGAAGAUACGUUUCAGUAACGAGAUUGGCCCCGCUUGUCUACCCUUUCAACAUUCGCCGGACACUUUUGGUGGCGCCUACGUCGAUUUAUUGGGCUGGGGAUCGACGGAUUUCGGCGGACCACCGUCCAGCACCCUCCAAAAGGUCACGGUAAGCGUGAUCACGAACCUCGAAUGCUCGGCUAUCUAUCCUACCAUAAAUAUAAAUAGAGAUACGAUAUGCACCUACGGGAAAGGAAAGGACGGAUGCCAGAUGGACAGCGGUGGGCCAGUUCUGUGGCAGAAUCCCACGACCAGGCGAGUUUCGCUCGUGGGAAUUAUCAGUCAGGGUAGCGGUUGCGGAAUCUCGGCCGGCGUGAACUGCAGAGUCGGCGGUUACGUGGAUUGGAUUACCUCGGUAACCCCAAACACCAUUUACUGCAUGGUCGAAUAAACAAACCGUACCUGAUCAUUUCGCCUCGAUUUGACGCGGCGUCGACUGCGCAACUGAUCGUCCCAAUAGUUUCGUUGACGGAACAACUCGCAUUCUACGCAAGCGGAUUCUCUGUUUUUAUACAGUUAACACAGUUAGUAUAUUCUUCCUAUGGAAGCGACGUAACGUCAUUCGAAUCAAACGGUCGAAGCUACGUCAAUCCAUAGGCCAGUCCCCAGGGGCAAAAUAAUAUUGGCAAAGAGAGUAGAGGAUUGAACGACGUCCUUAUCGAUACGAACUUUCUGAAUAUUAAGUGAUCAGGCAACGUGGUAUUAUAUAAAAGUUUACGUAUAUAUUAAGGUCUCUGUACACAUAUAUGUACAGAUAUGUAUAUAUAUGUCCAGAGAACUUAAUAUAUACGUAAUCUUUGAAAAGAAUUAGAGGUCAACUACUUACUCGAAUAACCUUCUAUUAUUAUCAAUAAUGGGCGAGAUAAGCGUUGAAGAAAGCGUAUGAAGUGACGCACACUAUUUUUUAUAGGUUUCCCUAUAAAUUCACAUGUAAAUGCUCACCUUAAUGCAACAAGAUUCUUCUAAUUAUCUAUGGGGAUUGGCCUCGAGAUUGGAGAUGACCGGAGCUUCUAUCCGUUAUCUAAAAUUAAUGUAUACUCGCGCGAAUACAUUUACGUUCGUUAUAUUAAA